UAGUUUGAUCCUGGCUCAGGACGAACGCUGACGGUGUGCUUUAGACAUGCAAGUCGAACGAGAAAGCCCUUCGGGGUUAGUAAAGUGGCGAACGGGUGCGUAACACGUGGGCAAUCUGCCCCUCGCAGGGGGACAACUGGAGGAAACUCCAGCUAAUACCCCGUAAGCUUUCAGGGUCGCAUGGCCUUGUAAGGAAAGGUAGCUUCGGCCAUCCGGCGAGGGAUGAGCCCGCGGUACAUUAGCUAGUUGGUGGGGUAACGGCCUACCAAGGCGACGAUGUAUAGCUGGUCUGAGAGGAUGAUCAGCCACACUGGGACUGAGACACGGCCCAGACUCCUACGGGAGGCAGCAGUCGGGAAUCUUGCACAAUGGGCGAAAGCCUGAUGCAGCAACACCGUGUGAGCGAGGAAGGCCUUCGGGUCGUAAAGCUCUGUUGUUGGGGAAGAAGGGCGAAGGGUUAAUAGCCCCUAGCUUGACGGUACCCUUCUAGAAAGCCCCGGCUAACUACGUGCCAGCAGCCGCGGUAAUACGUAGGGGGCGAGCGUUGUCCGGAAUUAUUGGGCGUAAAGAGCGUGUAGGCGGUUCGGUAAGUCUGUCGUGAAAACCUGGGGCUCAACCCCGGGCGUGCGAUGGAUACUGCCGAGCUAGAGGGUGGUAGAGGCGAGUGGGAUUCCCAGUGUAGCGGUGAAAUGCGCAGAUAUUGGGAGGAACACCAGUAGCGAAGGCGGCUCGCUGGGCCACACCUGACGCUG
rnacentral:rRNA from 1 species